CCUGCCUUUAUCUGGGGGAUAGCCUUUCGAAAGGAAGAUUAAUACCCCAUAAUAUACUGGAUGGCAUCAUUCGGUAUUGAAAACUCCGGUGGAUAGAGAUGGGCACGCGCAAGAUUAGAUAGUUGGUGAGGUAACGGCUCACCAAGUCUGCGAUCUUUAGGGGGCCUGAGAGGGUGAUCCCCCACACUGGUACUGAGACACGGACCAGACUCCUACGGGAGGCAGCAGUGAGGAAUAUUGGACAAUGGGUGAGAGCCUGAUCCAGCCAUCCCGCGUGAAGGACGACGGCCCUAUGGGUUGUAAACUUCUUUUGUAUAGGGAUAAACCUACUCUCGUGAGAGUAGCUGAAGGUACUAUACGAAUAAGCACCGGCUAACUCCGUGCCAGCAGCCGCGGUAAUACGGAGGGUGCAAGCGUUAUCCGGAUUUAUUGGGUUUAAAGGGUCCGUAGGCGGAUUUGUAAGUCAGUGGUGAAAUCUCACAGCUUAACUGUGAAACUGCCAUUGAUACUGCAAGUCUUGAGUGUUGUUGAAGUAGCUGGAAUAAGUAGUGUAGCGGUGAAAUGCAUAGAUAUUACUUAGAACACCAAUUGCGAAGGCAGGUUACUAAGCAACAACUGACGCUGAUGGACGAAAGCGUGGGGAGCGAACAGGAUUAGAUACCCUGGUAGUCCACGCCGUAAACGAUGCUAACUCGUUUUUGGGCUUUCGGGUUCAGAGACUAAGCGAAAGUGAUAAGUUAGCCACCUGGGGAGUACGAACGCAAGUUUGAAACUCAAAGGAAUUGACGGGGGCCCGCACAAGCGGUGGAUUAUGUGGUUUAAUUCGAUGAUACGCGAGGAACCUUACCAAGGCUUAAAUGGGAAAUGACAGGUUUAGAAAUAGACUUUUCUUCGGACAUUUUUCAAGGUGCUGCAUGGUUGUCGUCAGCUCGUGCCGUGAGGUGUUAGGUUAAGUCCUGCAACGAGCGCAACCCCUGUCACUAGUUGCCAUCAUUAAGUUGGGGACUCUAGUGAGACUGCCUACGCAAGUAGAGAGGAAGGUGGGGAUGACGUCAAAUCAUCACGGCCCUUACGCCUUGGGCCACACACGUAAUACAAUGGCCGGUACAGAGGGCAGCUACACAGCGAUGUGAUGCAAAUCUCGAAAGCCGGUCUCAGUUCGGAUUGGAGUCUGCAACUCGACUCUAUGAAGCUGGAAUCGCU
rnacentral:rRNA from 1 species